GCCGGGCGUCGAUUGCUCUGAAUCAAGGGUAGUCGAUAUCGCUCUGCGGUUUCCGGGUCAAACCGGGGACUGCUUAACGGUCGGACAACACCGCCGGAGUGUCGUUGGUGGAACCUCGGGCGCAAGUUCGGGGACCUCCGCCGCGACCGUAAUGCUGUAGGGUGCCCUUAACCGGGUGUCCUAUAGCGCCGGCACUGUUUACUUUGAACAAAACUGAGUGCUCAAAGCAGGUGACUAUCGCCUGAAAGAUGCAGCAUGGAAUGAUAAAAGAGGACCUCGGUCUUAUUUUGCUGGUCUUUUCUUUAGACCCGAGGUAAUGAUCAAUAGAAUCAGACGGGGGCAUUUGUACUGCUACGAUAGAGGUGAAAUUCUUGGACCGUAGCAAGACAAACAACAGCGAAGGCAUUUGCCAAGAAUGUUUUCCUUGAUCAAGAACGAAAGUUAGAGGCUCGAAGGCGAUCAGAUACCGCCCUAGUUCUAACCAUAAACGAUGCCAACCAGCAAUCCGCCGGUGUUACUCCCAUGACUCGGCGGGCGGCUUCCGGGAAACCAAAGUCUUUGGGUUCCGGGGGAAGUAUGGUUGCAAAGCUGAAACUUAAAGGAAUUGACGGAAGGGCACCACCAGGAGUGGAGCCUGCGGCUUAAUUUGACCCAACACGGGAAACCUCACCAGGCCCGGACACUGGAAGGAUUGACAGAUUGAGAGCUCUUUCUUGAUUCGGUGGGUGGUGGUGCAUGGCCGUUCUUAGUUGGUGGAGCGAUUUGUCUGGUUAAUUCCGAUAACGAACGAGACUCUAGCCUGCUAAAUAGGUGGCUGGUUUUUAAUUGAAAUUGAGGGGUCUAUUCCUGGUGGGAACCGGGCGGUUCGGGUUGGUGUCGUGUCGGUAAGUGUCGUUGCGGGCAACCGUGGCGGAGGCUGCCGGUGCGGUUUCGAUCAGGGCCGUCCCCUGCCGUGGGGUAGAUCUCGCGUCAGUCACAGCUCUUCUUAGAGGGACAAGCGGCGUCCAGCCGCGUGACAGUGAGCAAUAACAGGUCUGUGAUGCCCUUAGAUGUCCUGGGCCGCACGCGCGCUACACUGAAGGAAUCAGCGUGUUUCACUCUCCCUGUCCGAAAGGACCGGGUAACCGCUGAACCUCCUUCGUGGUUGGGAUUGGGGACUGCAAUGAUCCCCAUGAACCAGGAAUCCCUAGUAGGCGCGGGUCACUAGCCCGCGUCGAUUACGUCCCUGCCCUUUGUACACACCGCCCGUCGCUACUACCGAUUGAAUGAUUUAGUGAGGUCUUCGGACGGGCCCGUCGGGCUUCCGGCUUGCGGGGGGCAACUCUCGUAGGCUGAGGCUAUCCACGGCGGGACUGAAAGAUGCCCGAACUUGA
rnacentral:rRNA from 1 species